CUGGUAUGGCAGCUGUUAUUGUUAUUCUGGUAGAUGUUGCUGACGGUGUUGUUGUUGAUACUGUUAUUCUCAAGAUAAGGAUUAAUCACUCUAUAGCCUUAUAUCACUUCACUGUCGACCCUAUCUGAACCAGAACGCGGCCUACAUGAAUUUUUGUCAAGCACUGCUGCUGCUGCCACCACUACCAUCACCACCACCACUACUACUACCACCACCACCACUACUUCUACUACCACUGCUACUACUACUAGAAGAAGAAGAAGAAGAAGAAGAAGAAGAAGAAGAAGAAGAAGAAGAAGAAGAAGAAGAAGAAGAAUUAUAAAACGAAUGACGAUGAUGACGACGAUGACGUACCAAAAUUUUAAAUCAAUGUAUGACCCUGUGUGCGUUGAAAUAGAACAGUUUUACACUGAAUCAUACGGAUCCUUAAGAUGAUAUUCUGCUGCUAAUCUCUCCAUAUUUCAAUUUCAACCUCAUCAAUUUAUCAAUAAAUUUGGCCUGAAGUUCUCUGUUAAAUAUACGUUGCCAUAUCUAUUACUAGUAGCAUCACGUAUAAGAGCAAUACAUGAUGCAAGAGUCCCUCGUUUCUACUCAUUUUGGUCUUAUUUUCAUUAUGACAUCAUUAAAGAUAACUGUAAUUGGCAAA